CAGUGGAAGGAGCAGAAGCUCGCCGAAAAACCCGCAAGCAACGAACAAAGCACAGAGCAGAGAUGAAAGAACUUAUGUUCCUGGACUGAAGCGUUGGGUUAAUAGGGUUACGGGUUGACAUGAUAGUUUGAUGUGACGAUCGUUCUUGAUGCCACAUUUAAUUAGCUGCCGAUAUCCAAGGAUAUAGCUUCAAUUCAUGGCUUGGGAUCUCUGGGGUUCUUCAUACGACCAAGUUUUCUGCAAAGAUAAUUGCUUGAUCAUCCUGAGUGGCCAUAUGGCUUCUUCUUUGGCUGUGACCCUGAUGUGAUAGAGAAAGAUGCCUUGAAUGAGGAGUACUGUGUUCAGGUUUUAAGGAUUUUGAUCACCAAGGCAGAUACCGAAAUCAAGGAACUUGAAAAGGAUCUAUGGUCCCCUUCAAAAUGAAUUGGCCUGCGCUGAGCAUGAGAAAUGGCCUGAAA